UACGUAGGGGGCAAGCGUUGUCCGGAAUCAUUGGGCGUAAAGCGCGUGUAGGCGGUUCAGUAAGUCUGCUGUGAAAGUCCAGGGCUCAACCCUGGGAUGCCGGUGGAUACUGCUGGGCUAGAGUACGGAAGAGGUGAGUGGAAUUCCCGGUGUAGCGGUGAAAUGCGCAGAUAUCGGGAGGAACACCAAUGGCGAAGGCAGCUCGCUGGGACGGUACUGACGCUAAGGCGCGAAAGCGUGGGGAGCGAACAGG
rnacentral:rRNA from 1 species